GUUUGGCUUGCCGUACAGACUGCUGCCCACCUGCUGGCUCGGUCACUCUAACUUAUCUGAGAAAACUGCAGUGAAGGAAAUACCCAAUGAAGCUCUCCCUCAAUGUGGAGCAACAAAGGAAGGAAACCCUGAAAGUGGACCAGAGGAAGAGCCUUCCUCCAGUAGCUAAUGGAAGCAGAAGCAGAGACCUACAACUAAGCACUGAGCUG